CCUACACCUGGAAAAGGAGCUCCUGAGGAUGGCGCAGACGAGGCAGUACCAUGGCGUCUUCACCGUCAACUCUAAUCCUUUGAAUCAGAUGCUAUGUGAAAAUUACCUCAACUACCAGCGACAGGGAGCCGUGCGCGUGGCCACGUUCACCAACCAGGGACGUCGACCCUUUGAAAAGCUCCCCCACGACCUUCUCUUAGUGGCUAUGACCAAGACCCUCUAAUCAGAUGUACAUCUUCAGUGAGCUCUGAAUGCGGGAGAAUGUGUGUGUGUUUGGGUACGUGGUCCUCCGGAGAGGCUUCUACGUGACUAACUGCGGAGACAGAGUACGUCCGAAUAACUUUAGAGGGAAAAAAGAGAGGUUUCUCGGAUGUAGUUCCUCAGUGAGAAGAUGAACUUGACCCUGUGCUUCCAAUGAAAGCUUUCCAAAGAAGGGGAGGAGAUAGGAUUCUUUCAGAAGGAUUCUAUAAUCCCAAGAGGACUUUGAAACCAAGGUCAGGAGGAUUAUUCGUGGUCCUCAGACUAGGAUCCGCCGGCAAGGGAAAGGCGAAGGUCUCCCACUCCGUAAAAUGGUUGUGAUUUGUAGGUUAUAUAUAGUGUUCCAUAGUAAGCUGUGUGAUCCGGUGUUGUGCAGCUUUUGAAGGCUAAAAGCUUUUUAUCGGCAGCAAGUGAUGUUGCAUCCCGAACCCUCUUUAUCAUAAUCAUCACCCAUCGUUAGUAUCCGUCGUUGCCUGUGGCGUGGCUCCAUCGUGAGCUCCAUUGGCCUCAAGGUUAUCGUUAGUCUGCCGCGUCUUGUAGGAUUUGCAACAUGCUGUUCACGUGCGUCUUCAUCCAGGAGAGGAAGCGGUGUCGUGCUCUCACUUCCGUCUCUCAGAGACAGAUGCAACGCAAUUUUCUUAACACAUAAAACGCAAAAAGUUUAACACAUAAAACACAAUACAUUAUAACAUAUGAAUCAUAUUAAUAUCCUCAUAACGCACAAUAUCCUCAUAAUCCUACAUGGUAUUCGGUCUAACAGAUUAUGCAGGUACAUAGCUACUCGCAAUUUAUCAAGACAUUUACCAUAAAAGUAGACAGGCCUUUUUGCUUACCUUAGCCAAAAUCUUCGACUAAGUUUAUCCAUAUAAGACCACCUCUUAGAUCACAAUACUACGGGACCACAGAAUAACUACUUUUCUGACACAUAAGAUCCAAAGUAUCCUACGUGACUUUUCGUUUUUACGUUUCCUCUGGGGUCCCGCAAGGUACCCGUUUCUCUUGCUAUAUAAAACGACUUCUUAUUAAUCACAUUUAACUAUUUUGCCAAAUUCUUUGCUGAGGAUGGUUGUCUCUUUCGGCUUGAUCUUACUGAGAGCGACCACACACUCUUCCAGCUACACUUGAGAGCUUUAGAAGAGUUAGAAAACACGUGGGGUAUUCCAAACACACAGGUACGCGUUUUACAAAGUCACACACGCCGUUCGAAUACAUUUACACAUUACAGACCAAAGAACGGGCACUCGUAACGUACCAUCCAUAUUUCAGGGUACACCUUGUACAUAACUUCAGCUUCAACACAUGUAGACUGCUACAUCACAAACGAAAUCUACAUAUCACAUUAACACAAACAUCCUCACAAGUACUCAUAUUUCCUACGCAACACUAGAGACCUUCAGAACCCACUGACUUCACCAUCCGACCCACACUACUUAGAGAAACGAAAACACUGCCACUUAAACCAUAAUCUUUCAAAACCAACCCUCUCUCCUCAGCAACCAACCUCAUGUCGAGACUGAGAGAUUUGCAGGAAGUGACAGGCGACACGUCAAUUAUAUUUUGUAUAAUUAUCAAUCAGCCAACAUUCUCAUAUCAUUAUCAUAGUUGUGAUACUGGAUAUUGUAAUGAAGAUUAAUAAUGUAUGAGUUGUA